ACCCGCCUACGGGGGGCAGCAGUGAGGAAUAUUGGUCAAUGGGCGGAAGCCUGAACCAGCCAAGUCGCGUGAGGGAAUAAGGCUCUACGGGUCGUAAACCUCUUUUGCCGGGGAGCAAGGGCCGGGACGAGUCCCGGUCCGGAGAGUACCCGGAGAAAAAGCAUCGGCUAACUCCGUGCCAGCAGCCGCGGUAAUACGGAGGAUGCGUGCGUUAUCCGGAUUUAUUGGGUUUAAAGGGUGCGUAGGCGGGCUUUUAAGUCAGCGGUAAAAAUUCGGGGCUCAACCCCGUCCGGCCGUUGAAACUG
rnacentral:rRNA from 1 species